UACGAAGGGGGCUAGCGUUGCUCGGAAUUACUGGGCGUAAAGGGCGCGUAGGCGGAUAUUUAAGUCGGGGGUGAAAGCCCAGGGCUCAACCCUGGAAUUGCCUUCGAUACUGGAUAUCUUGAGUUCGGGAGAGGUGAGUGGAAUGCCGAGUGUAGAGGUGAAAUUCGUAGAUAUUCGGCGGAACACCAGUGGCGAAGGCGACUCACUGGCCCGAUACUGACGCUGAGGCGCGAAAGCGAUGGG
rnacentral:rRNA from 1 species